rnacentral:rRNA from 1 species
CCUACGGGAGGCAGCAGUAGGGAAUCUUCCACAAUGGGCGAAAGCCUGAUGGAGCAACGCCGCGUGGGUGAAGAAGGUCUUCGGAUCGUAAAACCCUGUUGUUAGAGAAGAAAGUGCGUGAGAGUAACUGUUCACGUUUCGACGGUAUCUAACCAGACAGCCACGGCUAACUACGUGCCAGCAGCCGCGGUAAUACGUAGGUGGCAAGCGUUAUCCGGAUUUAUUGGGCGUAAAGGGAACGCAGGCGGUCUUUUAAGUCUGAUGUGAAAGCCUUCGGCUUAACCGGGGUAGUGCAUUGGAAACUGGGAGACUUGAGUGCAGAAGAGGAGAGUGGAACUCCAUGUGUAGCGGUGAAAUGCGUAGAUAUAUGGAAGAACACCAGUGGCGAAAGCGGCUCUCUGGGCUGUAACUGACGCUGAGGUUCGAAAGCGUGGGUAGCAAACAGGAUUAGAUACCCGAGUAGUC